rnacentral:lncRNA from 1 species
AAAUCUUGAAAAAAAAUGAAAGUUAUAUCAUGCAUGUGUCAAUAUAGAAAAAAACCAAAUCUUCUUCUCUCUCCUCCAUGGAUCUAGGAAAUUCAUCAUUUAUGAAUGAGGAUAAAACAUCAAAGUUGAGUCCAAAUGAUUAGAUAAUCUUGUUCUCCUACCUAAAUAACCUAACUUCAUCCAAAAGUUUGAGGUAAAUGGAGCUCCAAAUGGCUAAUCCAUACCUUGGAGGGAUCUAGAUCCAUCUAGAGGUAUAUGGAACUCCAUUUGAGCCUAAAACCUAUGCAAUAAGCUUCAAAAAGAUAAGUAAAUAGCAUGAACUUACCUCCUAUAAGCUCCAACUCCAAGGAAACCAAGUUGAAAACCUUC